rnacentral:rRNA from 1 species
CCUACGGAGGCAGCAGUCCUACGGGAGGCAGCAGUCCUACGGGAGGCAGCAGUCCUACGGGAGGCAGCAGUCCUACGGGAGGCAGCAGUCCUACGGGAGGCAGCAGCAGGGAAUCUUGCGCAAUGGGCGAAAGCCUGACGCAGCAACGCCGCGUGGGGGAUGAAGGCCUUCGGGUUGUAAACCCCUUUCAGGAGGGAAGAAAUUGACGGUACCUCCAGAAGAAGGACCGGCCAACUACGUGCCAGCAGCCGCGGUAAU